CUGAGGGGAUGGAGCGGCCAGCAGGGAGCACACAGGGCUGCGGGACUGCAGCUCUGCCAGGCCUUGGAACCAAUUCCAGAGCCUCCACUUUUGGCACAGCUACAGUGAAGACCUUGAGAAAAGGCGGAGACUGCCGGGAGCCAGCAGGGAGAAGCUGAAGGCCAGCAGCAGGAGCAGUGAGCGGGGCCCUGCUGCUGCCAGCCUGGAGAGAGCCCGGAUGUCCCAUCUGCUGUCCCUAUCCAGGAGCGCUGCUCUGCACGGGAGGAAGAGACCAAGGGAGAGGCUUUGAAGAUGGGGCAGCUGGGGUCCCUCCGCUUGGAGUUCUGUUUAAAGAUACACGGAUUUGCGCGUGGACAGGGAUUAUUAUAUGGAUAUGGACAUAUGUAGCCUGCUAUUUGUACAGGCACAUUUCUGUACAUGUGGUAUUAUAUUCAUGAAUGUAUUAUCUAUAUAUUUACAUAUAGAUACCUGCAUACAUACAGGUUUGCAGUUACGUAUUUGUGUGUAUAUGUAUCUAGUUCUUUAUGUAUAUUGUAGUAUCUGUGUUUAGAUUGCCAUAUGUAUACAGUAGUGUAGGUAUCUAUAUUUAUUAGUUUUUAUUGUAGUUUUUGGUAUAUGCCUUUUUAAGUAAGUAUAGUGGUAUUUGUAUCAGUAUAUAUGUUUGGUUUUAUAUUUUUAGAUGUAUAUUGAUCUAUUUCUAUAUAUAUAUUAUAUUUACAUAUAUAUCCAGAUGUAUAGCUGUGUAUUUGCAUCGAUGCAGUUGUACAGAUAUUUAGAUUGGCAGUGCUGUUUGUCUAUUUAUAGAUAGGAUUGUUUUAUGUAUCUGUUUCUUGAAUGUAAUAUGUAACAUUUAAUCUAUAUUCACAUCUGUAUAUUGUGGUGGUUGUGUAUGUAUUCAGUUCUAUUUAAAUGUGUAUGGAGUUGUAUAGUGGUGUAAUUCUAUUUGUUGAGUUCUUGGUAUUAGAGAUACUGAAAUGUUUUGUAUUUAUAUGUGUGCUGUAUGCUUGUUGUGAUACGCAAUAAAUUAAGUUGUUAAUUUUCCAUUGA